ensembl:lncRNA
GUCAAACCCUUGGUUGGACAUAUCUUGGAUAGAAAUAAUCACCCACAGAUUUUGACAAGUCAUCACGCUACGUGUACUGUUGAAUGUGUGUGACAUCCCUCACUCCACGGCGUCUUUUUCGAAGAGGGUUGCAAUUGUUAGGACACGGGAGUUUGAGCCGUUUGGAGCGCUGGUCGAAAGUAGCGCAAUUCUUUUAUUCUGUCUGAGAGGAUGAACUAAGUGGUUAAUCAAGCUGAAGCCUCUGCCUUGUUUGAGGGGCCAAGAGUGGCCAGGAGAGGCCCGUGGCUAUGGAUGCUCCACGGACCGUACACAAACACACACACUCUGAACGCACACACACCGCAUUACAAACACACAGGGAGGGAAUGGGCAGACGAUGGAAGCAGACACUCAGAGGCUCGUGUCUGCCUCAGUGCCCAGCAGAGGUGAAAGGUCGCCCAGCUCUGAGAGGGGCAGCAGGCGUCCCACUGGACAGAGGAGCUAUUUUGUGUCAUGGGAUGACCCAGUGCACCCUGGCAGACAGACAGAGUCGGAGAGAGAGAGACGAGGUCCGGCGAGCCGAGCACAGAGAUACUGUUUGAUCGCCACAGGACAGAGCAUGGAGAUGGGAUGGCUGGGUGUUUGAUUCCAGGGGUCCUUUGACAGCUCACCGGCUGGCAAAAGGCUGUCGGAUGUCUGCAGGCAGAUCAGAGGAGACGGGGUGGAAAUCAGAAGUCCAGCUGGGAGAAGAUCAGAAGAGACACAAACUUCAGCAAGAGCCAUUGUGAGAUACACAGACAGCGGCUCUGAUAACUUUUCUGUUUCUUGUUUCUUUUCUUAUUUUUCUUUUUUCUUACAGUACGUCCUUUUCAGAAUUUUGAACGGCUCAUUUAAAGGUCUGUGAGGUUUUGUCUGACUUUGACAAAAGUGGUGUUUUUUUUUCUUCUUUUGGUUGCCUUUUGGGGUUUGGCUUAUUCUUCAUGGUGGUGAAUAACUACUCGAUACGUCCUGUAGGCUCCACACAUUCACCUUGCACAUGUUUCAAGACAGAGAUUUUUAGAAAAAUAAGGAUUACCCCCUUUUUUUCAAUUUUUGUCUAAAAUGACAUACCCAAAUCUAACUGCCUGUAGCUCAUGCCCUGAAGCAAGGAUAUACAUAUUAUUGGUACCAUUUGAAAGGAAUCACUUUGAAGGUUAUGGAGAUGUGAAAGGAAUGUAGUAGAAUAUAAC